GCAGGAAGGGGGGUUCUGCUUGCAGAUCUGCUCCCGGUCGAUCUUCUCGUUCACGUACAGCACCCCAGUCUCCAGGUUGAGCUCUAGCUCUCCUCCUGUCCCGGCUCCAGCUCCUGUGAUCUCUACUGGCAGUUUCUGAGCUCCGAGCGCUCGGCUUUUCUGUUUUUGCGCAGCGCCCUGCUCCUGCCAACCAAUGAAUGUGUAGCAACACCCACAGGCGCGACAGCCCAUUGGAUCCAGCGCACGUCAAGCAGGCUGCAUCUCAGGGGAGAGAGGGGGGAGAAUCCAGAGCUCUAGUUGGUCUGUGUGCAUGGCACAGAGAGACAGAGAGAGAGAGAGAGAAUAACCCUGCAGCUCCCGAAGCGCUUAUUGGGGAAUCUCUGCCUCGGAAAGUUACUAUUCCCCUGCUGCAGUUACUGAAUAGGGAGAUCACCUAUCGUCAUCAAUGCAAACCAAGACGACAAUAAUAACCAGUUUUCCCCGUGGAGGAGGAAUUUCCAUCAGCUACUAACUUUUUUUUUCCUAUUUGGCUAGCUCUAUAUCUGGCUCAAUGGUAAAACAAACAUUUUUAAAAAUAAACAAGGGAAACUUGUGCCUUAUUUUACUCUGGGCUACCUUAAAUAAUUAGUUCAGUUGACAAAUGAGAGAGUGCAAGUUUCCAUCACACGCCUACACUUUUUGCUAGUUCAUCUAAUUAACACCGUCAUGCAUUUGGGCCAAAUCCUGGCCUGAUUUACACCCUCUGCAGUUUCACUGUCUGAAGUGAAAGAGAUGGUACACGAUGUAAAUCAAAGCAGAAUGUGAUAAUUUGUGUGAUGGCGUGGAAUAAAUGUCAACAGUGCUUGAUCUGAAAUUAGUUUGUGUGUGAGGAGAAGAGGAUUAGAUGGGAAGAGUCAAUAGAAGUUUGCUAAUGAAAAAUAUUAUUUAAUAAAAUGCUCCGGAUACAAACGACCAUUCUUUUAUCGGUGUUUACUAUUGUUUCAACUUUCCUGACAUGGAAAGCACUUUGAUAAUGUUACUUAGUAGCUGUUUCACUAUUGCAACUGUACACAAUAUCCCUUUUUGUACCCUUUGCUGAAAUACUAUUUUACAACUUAAACUAGUACCCUUCAGCAACACACAUUGGAUAGUCUUACGUCUUGUACAACACCAGCACACUAGAUGCCUUCUCUUCCCCCACUCCCAACAAUAGUGGAAGGACAGUAGGCGUAGAAGACUGUGAUAAGUAAGGUCAAUGGCAAUUUCUGCAUUGAUAUAAAUAGGUUUUGCAUUUAAAGUCAAUAGGUAACACGCAUUUUGGAGACAUGUAUGUAUGUGUCUACAUUAAAUGUAAACCAUCUGGUUAAGAUUUAUGGAUUAAUUUUGGUACAAGUGUUCAUAAAUCUAAACUGUGGACACAUUAAUAUAUCCGGUGAUUUAUUAAAUUGAAGUUCCAUUUAUAUAACUUUCUAAACCUUAUACAAAUAGAAUGAAAUGUUCAUAAAUUUCACUUUUUGCUAACUGCUAGUUGGUUAUUGUUUAUAAGGAACACCAAAUAUUAGGCAGAAAGAGAGACUUAUUGUAAGAUCAGUGAUUCGUGAUCACAUCUUUGAUAAUAACUAGUAAAAUAGUAGAAGGAUGGCUUCCUUUGAUACAUUUCAAGAAGCUGUCUGUUCAGAUGCAUUUUUCUAUUGUGGAAAUAGAGGAAAUUACAUUUCGAUACAGGUUCAUUUAUAAAAAAAUCUUCUAUGUAUUUAUAAAUGUUUGUAUUUAUCCUUCUAUCUAUCUUGUUCAUUCAUUGCAGUCUGGUCUUCUCCUCCUCCUUCCUUCGCUUCUUUCAUGUGAAUGGGUCCUAUCUUUGAGCAGUUAAAGCUGGGUUACCAGAAAAAAAUGGCUAAUCCUUUUCCAGCUGCAGUAAAUUUACAACCCGGCAAAGCCAAGCUAAAGCCGCUGCAGCUAAAAUGAUUUCAGUGUGAUGUCUGGGGCUGAGAAUGGAGAGACAGUUUAUAAAACGACCUGUGGAUCAAUGAAAAGGAGAUUAUGGCGUAUCUGAAUAUGAAUACAGCCAUCGGAUCAAUAUAUCAUCCUUGUCCUCCACCCCCCCCCCCCCCCACCCCUUUCCUUCCUUCCGUUCCUUCCGUUUUUACUCCUAGGAUCCGAAAGGAAGGACACGUAACUUGAAGGGGCUUUAGCUGCCUCCUCGAAAUUUUGGUGCAUUUAAAAAAAUGUCUCUGUUUUUUGUAUGCUUUUAUCUAAAAUAAUGAAUGACAAUGCAGAUUAUUAAAUCUCUGUUUCAAACAAUCUGGAAUGGAGACAAGCGCCGGCAACUCAUUGAAACCUGGAAAUCUUAACGAGAGAGGGAUAUACAAUAGAUGGACGGAUCUUGUUGUAAAUAAUCACUGCAUCAACUAUAACACUUAAGUUUUAUACAGAUGUAGUAGCUGAAGGGAUGAGUGGAUUUGCUUUGCAAUUGUAGGUAGCAGGCUCCUCCUAGCGGUUAAAGUCGCACACUGCACGCAAGAUGUGAUUUCUUUAGAGGCAUUUCUGUGCAGGACGCUGGCUUCAUUCCUCCUCUCCUCCCGGAUUUCCCCAGUGUCUCCAAAGGAUGAAACUGUGAUGUAAGAUGCUUUAAUUUAUUUAUCUCAAUAGCUGUUUAUAUUCAGUACAUCAGUUACUCAAUUGUUGGUUAUUCAUAUGCUUCUUUUUGUAUUCGCUUGCAGGACUGUAAUCCAAAAUGUUCAAAGCUCUGCAUGCAGCUGCAGUUAGGGAAUUUUAAUGGAUUUUUUAUCUAGCCGCCAUCCAGAUGUUGACCCAAGCAUACUCCAUCUCGCAUGAAAUUCCCUUUCCACCCGCCCUGAACUGGGAUCUUAUUUUGCAUUCCUUUGCAUUUAUCACCAACUUUAAGGUUUAAUGUAUUCGCUUUGCUCUGCUGAUUUUCCUUCACAGGCAGCGUCCACCGCUCUUAGUUUACAGGGAUUACAUAAACAAAUGGCUUUGUUGUUGUAAUAACGGCUGCUUUGAAGUGCAAUAUAACAAACACAGUGCUGCCUCUCCACGGGAGCAGUAAUUACAGCAGAGCAGCAACCUAGAGAGGGGGUGAACCAUUAAAGUUACCCAUCAGUGCUCACACGGCGGGAAAUCGACCCUACACUAACAAUUCUCUCCCCCACCUCUCAUUCCGUUGCAAACGAAAGUUUUAGGAGCACAGUUUGGCUCUUAGAUUUAGUUGGCUUUUCUAUAAUAAAAUGAUUUAAUGACUGAG